rnacentral:lncRNA from 1 species
CUUAGGGAGCUACCAUUUGAUUUCUAUGGGGGGGCUAGGAUGAAAAAUUUUGUCCUGCUUUUUUUUUUUAGUUUUAAUCUCUGUCCUGCCUUUUUAUUUUUUACUCUAUUCGGUCCUGCCUUUUUUUUUACUAGUUUAUCCUGACUUUUUUUACACCUAUUGUCAUCCUGCCUUUUUUUUUUAACAAGUUUCUCAUCCUGCCUUUUUUUUACUCAAAACUCCUGUCCUGCCUAUUUUUUUCAAAUUUCAUCCUAGCCCCCCCAUAAAAAUCAAAUGGUAGCUCCCUUAUGUAAA